UAGUACAGGUUGAAUUUCAGUUAGCAUGAACGCUGGGACUAUUUGAAAUGUUAUGCUUUUUAAAUUAUGAGGGUAUCUAGAUGUUGUUAAGCACUUGUUUGUGUUUUGUUUUUUUGUGUAACACGGGUCAUCCUUUAUAACUUUUGGAUGUCCUAACAGGUAACUUUAACCAUGUUUACUUUGCAUAAUCUAACGAGUGGUUGCUGCUGUUAUACUAAAUGUUUGUUUCUGCUUACAUGGAUUUAGACUCUAGUAUAGGGUUCUCAUAGUCAUUCUUUUAAUUUGCGUUUGCCUGAGUUGAUCCAGUUAUUCUUGCUUUGUAUUUAUGGGCGUUUACAUUAUAAGAAUUUCACCUCUACAUAGACAUCUUACACAUUCAGGUAUUGACCAUCCAAUCUUUUAUGGUAAUACACUUUACAACGGACAAAUGUCAGCUUUUACCUCAAAAACUAACAAAACAUAAAAAGCAACUUAUAUAAAGUAGGGAUACUGUUGCCUGCAUAUAUACGGCUUAUUUUGGCUUCAAUAUUGAUUCACUUGCACAUCUUUGCAUCGGACUAAAACUCCUUUAUUUUUAAACCAGUUGCAGGUAUGAUAAGAGUUAUGUUUCUCUAAUAUAUUUUAUGAUGAUAUGAUAUUAAACCCCCAUGACGGGAUGGUGCUAGAUAUUUCGUAUAUUGAAUACAUAGUUUUUCGACCAGUUAAAUUGAGGUCUGGAGCUGGCAUGUUGGUAACUGUUAGUAGUCCGUUGUUGAUUUAUGUAAUAUCGUCAUUUUCAAUUUUUUUGUUUUUUGUUUGAUUUGUUACCUAUUCUGAUAUUGGACUCUGACUUCUUUAAACUGUGUGAUUUUUUCUAUGCGUAUUGCUGUGCGUUUGUUUCUUCUUCAUUUGGUUGAGAUUUUAAAAACUUGUUUAACCCCUCGGCAUUUUAGUAUCUGUUCCAAGUCUGGGGCCUCUGGCCUAUGUAAGUUUGGUAUGAACUUUUUUUUUUUAGAUUAGAGUUUAGUAUGACAUUCAUUAUCACUGAUCUGGUCCAAAUUUUCAUUAUGACUGAAGCCAUUUCUGGUUUUUAGAGGGAUUGCUUCAGAUGCUUGGUCCCAACUGCAGAUGUUUAUCCUGCUAUUACCCCAAGUGAAUUUAUUACUGUUAUUUCAGACCUUUAGUAACCGUUUAUUUGUAAGUUCCACACCACCCAGUACAUACAGAUGUAUCAGAGAGGACAGUCUUUCUUUUUUUCAUGAGUUCGGUUCUCUAGUUGAUUUAUUGAAUACAUUUCCUAUCUCUUUAUGAAUUGUUAAGGUAUUGCUUACUUGUACAUUUUGUAUCUCUCUCAACAAAAAUUGUGACAUUACUAAUUUACUAAGAUUGGAUAUUUUUUUAGUAAUUUAAUGAUGUGUCAAAAUUGAGGUUUGAGUUUUUAAGAAGGUAUUAAACACUCCAGGCCUUUACAUUUACCACAACCAUAGUCAUGCUGAAGUCUAGCAAUAUUUUCUUAUCUUGUGUUGGUUAUACUUGGUAUGAAUUCAGUGUAUUUGAAGCUGUCCUUUCAAUUGUUUGUGGACGAUUAUUAAAAGGGUUGGAGAUCCAAUACUGACACUUAAUACAGGGUUUUACAGAGAAUUAUUAUUUUUCUUGAUUUAUUAU
rnacentral:lncRNA from 1 species